rnacentral:rRNA from 1 species
AUUGAACGCUGGCGGCAGGCUUAACACAUGCAAGUCGAGCGGGGAAAGGUAGCUUGCUACCUGACCUAGCGGCGGACGGGUGAGUAAUGCUUAGGAAUCUGCCUAUUAGUGGGGGACAACAUCUCGAAAGGGAUGCUAAUACCGCAUACGUCCUACGGGAGAAAGCAGGGGACCUUCGGGCCUUGCGCUAAUAGAUGAGCCUAAGUCGGAUUAGCUAGUUGGUGGGGUAAAGGCCUACCAAGGCGACGAUCUGUAGCGGGUCUGAGAGGAUGAUCCGCCACACUGGGACUGAGACACGGCCCAGACUCCUACGGGAGGCAGCAGUGGGGAAGAUUGGACAAUGGGGGGAACCCUGAUCCAGCCAUGCCGCGUGUGCGAAGAAGGCCUUUUGGUUGUAAAGCACUUUAAGCGAGGAGGAGGCUACCGAGAUUAAUACUCUUGGAUAGUGGACGUUACUCGCAGAAUAAGCACCGGCUAACUCUGUG